UAGUUAAAAAACUCUAUGGCAUUUUUAUUCUAUAGUUUUGAUCUAAAUAAAAUACGAAAUCCUGUAACUACAAAAAAAUUCCACAGCUUCAUUUUUAAGCCGUUUGGAUACAGAUCAUACAAUUCCAUAGUAUUUAUAAUAAUUAAAUUUCUAAAAUUUUAAAAUUCAAAAUUCAAAAUUCAAAAUUCAAAAUUUAAAAAUAAAAUUUUAAAAAAUAAAAUUCAAAAUUCAAAAUAUAAAAUUUAAAUUUAAAAUUUAAAAUUAAAAAAUUAAAUUAGAUUUUAUGUUUUAAAUUUGAAAUUUGAAAUUUGGAAUUUGAAUUUAAAAUUUGAAAUUUGAAACUUUAAAUUUUAAAAUUUAAAGUAUAACAUUUAAACUUUAAAAUUUGAAAUUUAAAAAAUCUAUAAUUAAAAUUUUAAAUUUUAAAUUUAAUAAUUUAUAAAUUUACAUAUUUAUAAAUUUAAAAUUUAAAAUUUAAGUUUAAAUUUAAAUUUUGAAAAUUGAAAAUUAAAAAUUAAAAAUUAAAUUAAAAUUUGAAAUUUGAAAUUUGAAAUUUGAACUUUUUGAAAUUUGAAAUUUGAAAUUUGAAAUUUGAAAGUUGAAAUUUGAAAGUUGAAAUUUGAAAUUUGAAAUUUGAAAUUUGAAAUUUGAACUUUUUGAAAUUUGAAAUUUGAAAUUUAAAAUUUAAAAUCAAAAUUAAAAUUGAAUUUUAAAAUUUUAAAUUUUGAAAUUUAAAAUUUUAUGUUGAAAUUUAAAAUUUAGAAAUUGAUAUAUCUUUCGGAACCCAAAAUGGUAAAAUUUUUUCUUUUGGUUAAAGUGGAUUGUAAGUUUACUCUAUUUUUUGGAGUAUAGUAUAACUAUACUCCAAAAAUUACAUUUUUUUUUUUCUUCCAAACGCUUAAUAGGAUUAUUUUCCUACCGGCGUAGUAUAGUUUAACUAUGCUACGUUUUUAGAGGUAUCCAAACGGGGCCUAAUGUUAGGUUAUUAU
rnacentral:lncRNA from 1 species